rnacentral:rRNA from 1 species
CCUGGUUGAUCCUGCCAGUGGUCAUAGGCUUGUCUCAAAGAUUAAGCCAUGCAUGUUUAAGCAGAAGCCGCACAAUGGUAAAGCCGCGAAUGGCUCAUUACAACAGCCGUCGUUUCUUGGAUCUCUAAUUUUACUUGGAUAACUGUGGUAAUUCUAGAGCUAAUACACGCACUAAAGCUCUGACCUUACGGGACGAGCGCAUUUAUUAGAACAAAACCAAUCGGGUUUCGGCCCGUGCGUUGGUGACUCUGAAUAACUCUGCCGAUCGCAUGGUCUCGCACCGGCGACGUAUCUUUCAAGUGUCUGCCUUAUCAACUUUCGAUGGUAGUUUAUGUGCCUACCAUGGUUGUAACGGGUAACGGAGAAUAAGGGUUCGACUCCGGAGAGGGAGCCUGAGAAACGGCUACCACAUCCAAGGAAGGCAGCAGGCGCGCAAAUUACCCACUCUCGGCACGAGGAGGUAGUGACGAAAAAUAACGAGAUGGAUCUCUUUGAGGCCCAUUAUCGGAAUGAGAACAAUUCAAAUCCUUUAACGAGGAUCUAGCGGAGGGCAAGUCUGGUACCAGCAGCCGCGGUAAUUCCAGCUCCGCAGGUGUAUAUCUAUGCUGCUGCGGUUUAAAAGCUCGUAGUUGGAUCUGCGUGCUCGGAACUGGUUGGCUCACUGAGUUCAAACUGGUCUCCGGCGCUUUAUUUGCUGGUUUUCCCUUGAUGCUCUUAACCGGGUGUCUCGGGUGGCUAGCGUGUUUACUUUGAAAAAAUUAGAGUGCUCAAUACAGGCGCAAAGCCUUGAAUAGUGGUGCAUGGAAUAAUAGAAUAGGACCUCGGCUCUAUUUUGUUGGUUUUCGGAACACGAGGUAAUGAUUAAGAGGGACAGGCGGGGGCAUUCGUAUUGCGACGUUAGAGGUGAAAUUCUUGGAUCGUCGCAAGACGGACGACUGCGAAAGCAUUUGCCAAGAAUGUUUUCAUUAAUCAAGAACGAAAGUUAGAGGUUCGAAGGCGAUCAGAUACCGCCCUAGUUCUAACUGUAAACGAUGCCAACUAGCGAUUCGCAGGCGUUAAACAACGACCUUGCGGGCAGCUUCCCGGAAACGAAAGUGUUCCGGUUCCGGGGGAAGUAUGGUUGCAAAGCUGAAACUUAAAGGAAUUGACGGAAGGGCACCACCAGGAGUGGAGCCUGCGGCUUAAUUUGACCCAACACGGGAAAACUCACCCGGCCCGGACACCGUAAGGAUUGACAGAUUGAGAGCUCUUUCUUGAUUCGGUGGGUGGUGGUGCAUGGCCGUUCUUAGUUGGUGGAGCGAUCUGUCUGGUUUAUUCCGAUAACGAACGAGACUCUGGCCUACUAAAUAGUGGGCGGAUUC